rnacentral:rRNA from 1 species
CAGUAGCCGCGGUAAUACGAAGGGGGCUAGCGUUACUCGGAAUUACUGGGCGUAAAGGGCGCGUAGGCGGCACGAUUAGUCAGGCGUGAAAUUCCUGGGCUCAACCUGGGGACUGCGCUUGAUACGGUCGAGCUAGAGGAUGGAAGAGGGUCGUGGAAUUCCCAGUGUAGAGGUGAAAUUCGUAGAUAUUGGGAAGAACACCGGUGGCGAAGGCGACUCUCUGGUCUGUAACUGACGCUGAGGAGCGAGAGCGUGGGGAGCGAACAGGAUUAGAUACCCCAGUAGUCCCUGUCUCUUAUAC